rnacentral:rRNA from 1 species
GCUGGCGGCACGCCUAACACAUGCAAGUCGAACGAAGUAGCAAUACUUAGUGGCAGACGGGUGAGUAACAUGUAGGUAUCUACCCUUUGGCCUGGAAUAACACGAGGAAACUUGUGCUAAUACCGGAUAAGUCUUUACGGAGAAAGCUUUAUGCACCAUUGGAUGAGCCUGCACUUGAUUAGUUUGUUGGUGGGGUAAUGGCCUACCAAGACUUUGAUCAAUAGCUGAUUUGAGAGGAUGAUCAGCCACAUUGGGACUGAGACACGGCCCAAACUCCUACGGGAGGCAGCAGUGGGGAAUCUUGCACAAUGGAGGAAACUCUGAUGCAGCGAUGCCGCGUGAGUGAAGAAGGCCUUUGGGUUGUAAAGCUCUUUCGUCGGGGAAGAAAAUGACUGUACCCGAAUAAGAAGGUCCGGCUAACUUCGUGCCAGCAGCCGCGGUAAUACGAAGGGACCUAGCGUAGUUCGGAAUUACUGGGCUUAAAGAGUUCGUAGGUGGUUGAAAAAGUUGGUGGUGAAAUCCCAGAGCUUAACUCUGGAACUGCCAUCAAAACUUUUCAGCUAGAGUUUGAUAGAGGAAAGCAGAAUUUCUAGUGUAGAGGUGAAAUUCGUAGAUAUUAGAAAGAAUACCAAUUGCGAAGGCAGCUUUCUGGAUCAUUACUGACACUGAGGAACGAAAGCAUGGGUAGCGAAGAGGAUUAGAUACCCUCGUAGUCCAUGCCGUAAACGAUGUGUGUUAGACGUUGGAAAUUUAUUUUCAGUGUCGCAGCGAAAGCGAUAAACACACCGCCUGGGGAGUACGAC